UCCACUACUGCAGGAUUAUUAGUGAAGAGAAAGAGCCGACAAAGAGCAUCUCUUGAUAUUUGAUAAAAUGAUGCAUAUGGCUUAGCGUCCGGGAGUCAUGCGUUGCCUUUCUUUCUUAACUUUCUUUCAGUUUCAGCAAACUCUCCGGCGCGCUCGUGCUCUGAUCUCUGUCUGCAUGUCAGCGCUAUCCACGCGUCCUCUUUUGCACUCACCCCUACUCCCCUCUCCAUUAUUAUUCUUCGGUCAAACUACCCAUUUCUACCGCUUUCACGAAUUCAAUUGAAUCUCUUGCCAGCUACCAUCGUCAUUGUGCUUCUGUAUUUCAAUUUUCAUCAUCGUAUGUAGACAAAUUCAUCAUUUAUAUUAAUAUAACAUUAGUAACAUGACACGAGAU
rnacentral:lncRNA from 1 species